rnacentral:rRNA from 1 species
UACGAGGGGGCUAGCGUUGCUCGGAAUUACUGGGCGUAAAGGGUGCGUAGGCGGGUCUUUAAGUCAGGGGUGAAAUCCUGGAGCUCAACUCCAGAACUGCCUUUGAUACUGAGGAUCUUGAGUUCGGGAGAGGUGAGUGGAACUGCGAGUGUAGAGGUGAAAUUCGUAGAUAUUCGCAAGAACACCAGUGGCGAAGGCGGCUCACUGGCCCGAUACUGACGCUGAGGCACGAAAGCGUGGGGAGCAAACAGG